AAAUUACUUGCUUAAAAUUAUGUAAUCUAGGAACCCUUGCUUUAAGUCAUUCAUAUAUUCUGAUAUUCAUUUCUAUAGCAUUUAAUAAAUAAUUGAAAUCUGUAUCUUCUCUACCUUGUGGUUUUUUAUACCUUAGUGAGUUUCAACCAUAAUUAUAUACUCUCAGGGUUUCAUGAUUUAUUUUUGUAACACUUAAAAAAGACCUGUGUUUGCUAUGACUAUUAUGAACAUGUCUUAAAAUAAUUUGUAAAUUCAGUUGCAGUACAAUGUAUAACUGUACUUUUCAUUAGAAGUUUUACAGAGACUGUUUAUUGAAUGAAUAUAGCAUGAUGUGAGCUACCAUGUAAAUGUUGCACAAAAUGUGAAUCAAUUGUGUGUUGUUGAAGUAUUGUGUAUGAUUGUUCUAUGAUAUUAUUAUAAGUGUGCGCAUAUGUUUUAUAGAAUAAAUCUUAUACAUUAUCUUAAUAUGAUUUUGUCUAAUUGGCAGAAAAUUGCCCAAUAUGCAAA
rnacentral:lncRNA from 1 species